rnacentral:rRNA from 1 species
CCCUUAGAUGUCCUGGGCCGCACGCGCGCUACACUGAUGCAUUCAACGAGUUUUACCUUGGCCGAGAGGCCUGGGCAAUCUUUUAAACCUGCAUCGUGAUAGGGAUAGAUUAUUGCAAUUAUUAAUCUUGAACGAGGAAUUCCUAGUAAACGCAAAUCAUCAAUUUGCAUUGAUUACGUCCCUGCCCUUUGUACACACCGCCCGUCGCUCCUACCGAUUGAAUGAUCCGAUGAAUACCAUGGAUUGAGAGUACGAAUGGGUUCGCUCAUUUCUGCUGCUCGAGAAGUGGAGUAAAUCUUAUCAUUUAGAGGAAGGAGAAGUCGUAACA